rnacentral:rRNA from 1 species
GACGAACGCUGGCGGCGUGCUUAACACAUGCAAGUCGAACGAGUGGCGCACGGGUGAGUAAUACAUCGGAACGUGUCCUAUCGUGGGGGAUAACUGAUCGAAAGAUCAGCUAAUACCGCAUCCGAUUGGAGCGGCCGAUGCCCGAUUAGCUAGUUGGUGAGGUAAAGGCUCACCAAGGCGACGAUCGGUACCUGGUCUGAGAGGACGACCAGCCACACUGGGACUGAGACACGGCCCAGACUCCUACGAGAGGCAGCAGUGGGGAAUUUGGGACAAUGGGGGCAACCCGGAUCCAGCCAGGCCGCGUGCAGGAUGAAGGUCUUCGGAUUGUAAACUGCUUUUGUCAGGGAAGCGGUACCUGAAGAAUAAGCACCGGCUAACUACGUGCCAGCAGCCGCGGUAAUUC